GCGCGUUUUGCCGUCCGAUCCCAAGCCUGCUCACAUGUCGACCAUCGCGACGUGGAGCGCAUCAGGGGAAUUAAGGACAUGCCCGGCGCCCACCCUAUUUUUUUUUUCCAUUUUAUCACCCCACAGACAGGUCGAUCGUCGGCCCGUUAGUCUUUUCUUUAAGGAAGUCGGUCCGGUCUGUUAGUGAAACGCAUAAAUGAGGAGAU
rnacentral:lncRNA from 1 species